GACGAACGCUGGCGGCGCGCUUAACACAUGCAAGUCGAACGAUGAAGUUCCUUCGGGAAUGGAUUAGUGGCGAACGGGUGAGGAACACGUGAGAAACCUGCCUUUCAUUUUGGGAUAACUCCGGGAAACCGGGGCUAAAACCGAAUACUCCGUCUCGGCGGCAUCGCUGAGCCGGGAAAAAAUUUUGAUGAAAGAUGGUCUCGCGGCCUAUCAGCUAGUUGGUGAGGUAAUGGCUCACCAAGGCAACGACCGGUAGCCGGCCUAGGAGGGCGACCGGCCACACUGGGACUGAGACGAGGCCCAGACUCCUACCGGAGGCAGCAGUGGGGAAUAUUGGGCAAUGGGCGCAAGCCUGACCCAGCGACGCCGCGUGAGGGAUGAAGGCCUUCGGGUUGUAAACCUCUUUCAGUAGGGAAGAAGCGAAAGUGACGGUACCUAAAGAAGAAGCACCGGCUAACUAUGUGCCAGCCGCCGCGGUAA
rnacentral:rRNA from 1 species